GAUGAAGAACGCAGCGAAAUGCGAUAAGUAAUGUGAAUUGCAGAAUUCAGUGAAUCAUCGAAUUUUUGAACGCACCUUGCGCCCCUUGGUAUUCCGAGGAGCAUGCCUGUUUGAGUGUCAGUAAAUUCUCAAACCCUUCCAGCUUUUUUAGUUGGCUCUGGGUCUUGGAUGUGGAGGUGUUGCAGGCCUUUUUGAGGUCAGCUCCCCUGAAAUGCAUUAGCAGAACCGUUUGCAAUUCAUCACAGGUGUGAUAAUUAUCUACGCCAGUGGGUUGCUCUCUGUCACUGUUCAGCUUACAAUUGUCCCAUUCUUGUGGACCAACUAUUGCUGAUUCUUUGACCUCAAAUCAGGUAGGACUACCCGCUGAACUUAAGCAUAUCAAUAAGCGGAGGA
rnacentral:misc_RNA from 1 species